GAGUCCUCCCCCGUCCCCCAAUUUCCCCGUCUUCCUGCGCGAGGUGAAGUGCGAGAGCGCCGUCUUCCUCGGCCGAGAACUCCCUAGGGUUUCCUUCACGGUUCACUGCCUCGACCCACCGGCUCUCCCCGACGCCUCCCAUCCCCUCGGACCUCGGAUACAAUGGUUAAACCAAUAAGUGAUGAGGAGGUUGAGUAUUUAGCAGGCCCGGCAGAUCAUGCUGGUAUAAAUUUUUUCAACAACGUAUUUUUUUAUUUCAAGUCUGAUGUCAGCACUGAUACUUCUGUGUGAGUGCAUUCUCCUCUGCCUGUGUAUUCAUGUUUAAAUGCUUGU